rnacentral:rRNA from 1 species
CACGUAGGGUGCGAGCGUUGUCCGGAUUUAUUGGGCGUAAAGAGCUCGUAGGCGGUUUGUCGCGUCGUUCGUGAAAACUCACAGCUUAACUGUGAGCUUGCGGUCGAUACGGGCAGGCUAGAGUUCGGUAGGGGAGACUGGAAUUCCUGGUGUAGCGGUGAAAUGCGCAGAUAUCAGGAGGAACACCGGUGGCGAAGGCGGUUCUCUGGGCAUGAUCUGACGCUGAGGAGCGAAAGUGUGGGGAGCGAACAGG